rnacentral:misc_RNA from 1 species
GCUCCAUUAAUUUUUUUUGGGUGAAGUUGUUAAAAUGCAUUAGAAAGGCAUCACGGAAAUGCUUAAGUAACAGCUAAACAGUAAGGUGCUCCAUUAAUAGGCAUCCAAAAGAUGCAAAAGUACGUGAUUUUCUACUCAUUUGUCUAAGGUUUUAUUGAUACAGUUACCCGGUACCUAUACUGAUGGGAGCUAAUAGAAGUGAAG